GAGGACUAGAGCUUGGAGGUGUGUUGUGAGAUUUGAAAGAUCAGAGAACCAAAGUAAGGGAGACUCCCUCCCCCAACAUCUAAGGACUGAGGAUAACCCCACCCAAGGGGGAAGAGGUUUGCAGUUGGGAUGUCUCAGUCCCUCACACAACACCUGCACGCUUGAAUCUCCCAGCUUCGUCCCCCAAAGGUUCAGCUCUGUCAGGGCCUGGCUGGUGCUGAGAGCAGAGGAGAGAAACCCACAACAUACAGCUGAGAGUCUGCACCACUCCAACCUGCAUGAAAUGAAGAGAGAAUGGAAAACAAUUCAUUUCUGACCCAUGCACUGUGUUCCCCUCACAGAUGUCCAUGGGGCAGACACCAGCUACAGCCCCUGUGAAGCACUUUACAUAGAUGUCAUCAGAAAAUACACAGAGGAGACCAAAUAUUACUUACCCCAGC